UGCGUAGGCGGUUAUGCAAGUUAGGGGUGAAAGGCUACGGCUCAACCGUAGUAAGCCUUUAAAACUGCAUAACUUGAGUGCAGGAGAGGAGAGUGGAAUUCCUAGUGUAGCGGUGAAAUGCGUAGAUAUUAGGAGGAACACCAGUGGCGAAGGCGACUCUCUGGACUGUAACUGACGCUGAGGCACGAAAGCGUGGGGAGCGAACA
rnacentral:rRNA from 1 species